rnacentral:rRNA from 1 species
ACACGACUACAUUAGAUACCCGGGUAGUCCAGGGUGUAAACGCUGCGGGCUUGGGUGUUGGGGGGGUCCCUUUUGAGGGCGCCCAGUGCCGGAGAGAAGUUGUUAAGCCUGCUGCUUGGGGAGUACGUCCGCAAGGAUGAAACUUAAAGGAAUUGGCGGGGGAGCACCGCAACGGGAGGAGCGUGCGGUUCAAUUGGAUUCAACGCCGGACAACUCACCAGGAGCGACGGUUACAUGAAGGCCAGGCUGAUGACCUUGCCUGAUUUUCCG